rnacentral:rRNA from 1 species
GAUGAACGCUGGCGGCGUGCCUAAUACAUGCAAGUCGAGCGAGCGGACGAGAAGCUUGCUUCUCUGAUGUUAGCGGCGGACGGGUGAGUAACACGUGGAUAACCUACCUAUAAGACUGGGAUAACUUCGGGAAACCGGAGCUAAUACCGGAUGAUAUUUUGAACCGCAUGGUUCAAAAGUGAAAGACGGUCUUGCUGUCACUUAUAGAUGGAUCCGCGCUGCAUUAGCUAGUUGGUAAGGUAACGGCUUACCAAGGCAACGAUGCAUAGCCGACCUGAGAGGGUGAUCGGCCACACUGGAACUGAGACACGGUCCAGACUCCUACGGGAGGCAGCAGUAGGGAAUCUUCCGCAAAGGGCGAAAGCCUGACGGAGCAACGCCGCGUGAGUGAUGAAGGUCUUCGGAUCGUAAAACUCUGUUAUUAGGGAAGAACAUAUGUGUAAGUAACUGUGCACAUCUUGACGGUACCUAAUCAGAAAGCCACGGCUAACUACGUG